UUAACUCAAAUUUGUAUGGAGUUGGAAUGUUUGCCUACGUUUGCCGCUAGGGGCGCUGUUCCAACUGCAUACAAACUUGAGUUA
rnacentral:pre_miRNA from 1 species